GCAGACAAAGAUAUACACUUUUACCGGACUAACAUCAAUGGAAAAAUCCAUGUGUACUUUAUAUUGAGUUUCAAGAUGAUGCGUUUUUUGCAGACAAAGAUAUACACUUUUACCGGACUAACAUCAAUGGAAAAAUCCAUGUGUACUUUAUAUUGAGUUUCAAGAUGAUGCGUUUUUUGCAGACAAAGAUAUACACUUUUACCGGACUAACAUCAAUGGAAAAAUCCAUGUGUACUUUAUAUUGAGUUUCAAGAUGAUGCGUUUUUUGCAGACAAAGAUAUACACUUUUACCGGACUAACAUCAAUGGAAAAAUCCGUGAGCUCCGUUCAUUACAGUUAAAGUCUUCUUUGAUCGUCCAAAUUAAAUUUGAAUGAUGUGUUCUUUAUAUUGAGUUUCAAGAUGAUGCGUUUUUUGCGGAAAGAUAUACACUUUUACCGGACUAACAUCAAUGGAAAAAUCCGUGAGCUCCGUUCAUUACAGUUAAAGUCUUCUUUGAUCGUCCAAAUUAAAUUUGAAUGAUGUGUACUUUAUAUUGAGUUUCAAGAUGAUGCGUUUUUUGCAGACAAAGAUAUACACUUUUACCGGACUAACAUCAAUGGAAAAAUCCGUGAGCUCCUUUCAUUACAGUUAAAGUCUUCUUUGAUCGUCCAAAUUAAAUUUGAAUGAUGUGUACUUUAUAUUGAGUUUAAGGAUGAUGCGUUUUUUGCGGAAAGAUUUACACUUUAACCGGACUAACAUCAAUGGAAAAAUCCGUGAGCUCCGUUCAUUACAGUUAAAGUCUUCUUUGAUCGUCCAAAUUAAAUUUGAAUGAUGUGUACUUUAUAUUGAGUUUCAAGAUGAUGCGUUUUUUGCAGACAAAGAUAUACACUUUUACCGGACUAACAUCAAUGGAAAAAUCCGUGAGCUCCGUUCAUUACAGUUAAAGUCUUCUUUGAUCGUCCAAAUUAAAUUUGAAUGAUGUGUACUUUAUAUUGAGUUUCAAGAUGAUGCGUUUUUUGCAGACAAAGAUAUACACUUUUACCGGACUAACAUCAAUGGAAAAAUCCGUGAGCUCCGUUCAUUACAGUUAAAGUCUUCUUUGAUCGUCCGAUUUAAAUUUGAAUGAUGUGUACUUUAUAUUGAGUUUCAAGAUGAUGCGUUUUUUGCAGACAAAGAUAUACACUUUUACCGGACUAACAUCAAUGGAAAAAUCCGUGAGCUCCUUUCAUUACAGUUAAAGUCUUCUUUGAUCGUCCAAAUUAAAUU